UCAUGGACCAUAAUACUGAAAAUUCUCAUAAAUUUGGAAUAUACCGAAAAAUGCUGAGCUAUGGCGAAGCUAAGGGGGUUGGUUUGUUGAAUCGGCUUGAGACUUGAAUGGGCCAAUGGGGUUCUGUCGUCCCAACGAAUCAACUAGGAUUCGGAAGUGGGCCGACAGGGGCCCAAAUGGGACCCAGAUGUUUAAUAUUUAACAUAAUGAGGAAGACGAUACGACCACGUGUCGAAGUAGUUCAACUCAUUGCAUUCACGUCUUCUUUUUCUCCGUCACAUGGUGGUGAGUCAUAGUCACGUACGGUAGGUUUAAAUUGGGUCUGUGGGUUUGGGUAGUUUUAUCGUUAUCUUACUCCAGAUACCCGCGAGAUGCUUUGCAUGAAAAGUCACGCGCUUCAGAUCCAUAGCUAUGGAAUCCAUCGCCCAGGCUCUCCACUCGUUUGGAUAAAAUUUCCCCUUCAAAGGUGACACAAGGAAUAUGUAUAGCGACCUUUUAUAAAAGCUUCCCCUUCCCCAAACAUUUUGAACUUAUCUUCUUCCAUUUCUUUGAAAGAAACGCACCCAAAACCUUAUCCACAACUGCAUCUCUCGCUUUCCUUACUUACAACCAUGCUUAGUACGCCUGCUAUACGAAUCGAUGUGUUGUGUACAUAUCUUAUCAUAUGUAUUGAUAUAUUGUAUACAUAUCCUGCUAUACGUAUCGAUAUGUUGUAUAUUGAAAGUGUACAUACGUUGUAAGUUCGUGGACAUAUGACUUGACAAGAAGGGAAGAAUUUAAUGUGAAUGUCGGUAUUUUGUGCUUAUCCAAAAUACCUGCCCCAAUACCCAACAUUGAAGGAAGGAAAACGUGUCUAAUGCACCCACAGUAGAUCGAUGUGUGAGUUCGUUCAUGUACUAAAUUGGGUUUUUGGUUCGAUACGAAGAAU